UCAUAUUACCAUACAACUGUUGCAUGAAAUCAUUGCUCAUAUAUAUAUGGAAGCAUCUAGGCAACACCAAUAGACGAAAAUGAAAAGUGCUUUCGCCGUCCGGAAAAUCGUGCGGCGUGCAUUUUUUUACUGUCACGGACCUAGCAUGUCCGUGGCGGUCAAAAACUCACACGGAACAACGACGUCUAUUGCGGAUCUGUUUAAUAAACCACCAUGAAUAUACAAGUCUGUGGCAGUGGCAAAACACUGUAGCACCUCCCCUAUAGGCAUUUUUUAGGUUUUUUCAUAUAUAUAUAUAGGAAAAAGCUUGCAUGCAACCCUUCGUGUAGAGGUUUGGGGUGCAACCAACAGCUGGCAAAAAAGCCAUCUAAAUCAAUGGUGAUCCUCUAAUGUGAGCGUUGAAAUGGGUUUUAGCUUCCAAUGUUCGCAGAAGCCUUCUCUCUCCUCUUUCUCAAGCUCGCUGAGGAAGCCCUCUCUUCUGCUUCUUGGUCGCCAUUUCAGCUCGUUGAGGAAGCCCUCUCUCCUUUUUGCUCGCCAUUUUAGCUCGCUGAGGAAGCCCUCUCUCCUUUUUGCUCGCCAUUUUAGCUCGCUGAGGAAGCCCUCUCUCCUACUUCUUACUCGCCAUUUCAACGUGCCACCAAAGCUCGCGAAAGCCCUAAAACUCGCAGAAUGGAUCUAUCCUCUUACUCAAGCUCGAGCUCGCUGAGGAAGAUGCCCUGAAACUCACGAUUUCACCCUCUCUCUCUAGAAAUCCCUACCCUCUCUGUCUCUCCUUGAAUCGAAAUUUGUACCCUCGAUUAAACCCUCUCUCUCUCUAUCUUAAAUUCAUACCCUAAUUGAGAGGGCUUUCUCAUUGACGAGUAAAAGAAGCCAUUUACAAUAAAAAAAAAAGAUAUUUUCUCUCUUCUCGAGCAAAAUCCUAUUUGCACAGUUCAAUUUUUUUUAUGAGUUCUCUGUGUGCAGCGAAUUUCCGCUUCAUAUUGUUCUCUGUGUGCACAUGUUGCUCUCGAAUGUAGUUUUGUUAAAUUUGGUUGCACACUGUUUUAACCCAUUUAAUCAAUGUGGUUAAAUAUUAUAAACCAUUUUCUUUAUGAGUUCUCUAUGUGUAGCAAAUUUCGGCUUCAUAUUGUUUUUUGUGUGCACAUAUUUUGUUAAAUUUGGUGGCACAUUGUUUUAGCCCAUUUAAUCAAAGUGGUUAACUAUUAUAAACCACAGAAAUGGUGAUAGGUGUUUUCAAAAUGGUUUAAAAAAAUGAGCUGAUAGGUGUUCUCAAAAUGUAUAUCUAAAUUACUCUACUAUAUGAUGUAUGAGGCACAUCCAUUAUGCUGACAAAUUUAUUUUUGUUGUUUAUGAGGCAAGUGUUGUUUUUCAUGAAUUUUCUCGAUUGAAUUGUCUCAUAAUCAUGUAUCAUAAUGUAUUAUUAGCUAUGUUCAAACUGUAGUUAUCAUUACAAUGCUACCCACUCAAGUACCAUUUUGUAUAAAAUUGUCAAAUUUAUUUUUUUCCAAUAUGCAUUUUGUAUAAAACGUAAGAAUUCAACAUGUUUCACAAUAAUAGUUAUGUAGUCCUUUACACUGUGUUUAUGAUGCUAUUAUUAUAGGCCCUAACAUUGUCAUGUCAUUCUACAAGUAAUUGAGGAUAUACAACUCGACAAUGCCCUAAGUGCACUAUAGAUUGCGCUACGAAAGUAUCGUCAAGCGUAAACAACCCGAACAUGAUGUACUACAAGUGCCAAAUAUGUGGGUUCUUCCAAUGGUGUGAUGAAUAUGUUUCCACCAUGCAAAAUAUCAAUUUAAGGAUCACAUUACACAACAAUGGAAUCCAAUGGAUGAAUUUGAAGAAAGAAGUAUUGGCAAUGACACGAUACUCGGUGCCAUAGGGCGUUUGCAACAUGUCGAACUUGGUGCAUUCGGGUGUUUACAACAAUUGUUGUAUUUUUUGUGUAUAAUAAAUGUGUGUAUGCUUGUACUCAUCUGAACUUCAUCCUAUGUGAGUUGAUUAUCUCGUUCAGAUGGGUGAUUAGUUGUUGACCUGUAUGGAAUGGUUUAAAAAAAUGAACUGAUAAGUGUUCUCAAAACGUAUUUCUUAAUUACUCUACUAUAUGAGGCAAGUGUUGUUUUUAAUGAAAAAUAGCAUUGCAAUUCGCUGCCUUCGCCAUGGCAAUUUAGGAGUCAUUUUCUUUUAAAUUAACUACAUCUUGGUUGCUUCCAAUAUGUUCAUAAUAGGCUUAUUCUACGUUUAUGGUAGUUCAAAUAUAUUCCCAACUUCAAUUUUUGUAGAGACUGUUACUUGCCCGUAGAUGGUAGCCAUAGCAGUUAUACGAGGAAAGAUCACUUGACCCAGCAUCUUCUUAAGGAUGGAGCCAAAUUGUUGGAGUGUCCUGUGGAUGACUGUAAUUACAUAUUCAACAAUUUAAAACGCCACAUAGAAGAACAUCACAAUGAAGAUUCUUCUCAGUCAUAUAGUAGAUAGAAUCCUCUGCCAUUUCUGAUAAUGUUUUGAACAAAAACCGAGUUAUAUUAAUAGAAUGAAACAUGUCCCUACAAAUAAUAUACAUUGACUAAACUAUGAUAAAAUCCCUUCAAAAUAGAACUGAAAUGAAAUGUGAUUGGUGUCACUUAUUAAAAAGUAUGUGAAGUGUUGAAGUCAUUAAUUGACAAAUGAAAUGUGUUUUUUGUAGGGCAAUUCUAGUACAUGAGAUGGACCUCACCAUUUCAGAAAGUGUGGCAUCCCCCACAUGGUUAAAUGAUGACAACAUGGGGGACACUGUACAACCCAUGGAGCAAGAUCCGUUGGUUCCCGCCCCCCAAUAAGUUCACAAAUCCCGAAAACAUGGAACAUACGUCAUAAUCCAAAGAGACAGAAAUAGAGGAACCUUGCAUAGGAAUGAAAUUCAAUUAUGAAAAUGAUGCAUUUGAGUUUUACAAAGCCUAUGCACUGGUACAUGGGUUUGGUGUCAGAAAGUGAACUACUCACAAUAAUAAUGAUGGAAAGAGAACUGCUAGAGAAUUUAUAUGUUCCAAUGAAGGAUUCUAUAGGGUGAAAGAAGUGUUACCUACAAACAACAUCCCUCAUUCAAGGUGUGGAUGUGCACCGAAGAUAUGUGUAGGCAUAAAUUCCAACAAUGAGUGGGUUGUCACAAGGUUUGUUAAGGAUCACAAUCACGACCUUGUAUCUCCAAGGAAAGCCCGAUUCAUCCAAUCGCACCGAACAAUAUUUGAUGCGACAAGACAAUGAUAGACUCCAUGAGCUCUGCUUUGGUAAAGUCUUGAAAUAUCUACGAUAUCUCUUUAGAGCAGGCUGGAGGGAUUGAUAGUAUCCCUUGUUCACAAAAAGAUAUUGAAAACCAAUUAGGAGACAAAAAUUGAAAGGGAAAGAUGGGAACCGUGCGAUAGAAUGGUUAAUCGAUAUGAAAAGAUUGAAUCCAUCUUUUUACUAUAAGGUGUAAUUAGAUGAAGAAAGUCAUAUUGUCAGCCUAUUAUGAGUAGAUGUCAUGUCAAGGUGUUCUACAACCACUUCUCGGAUGUGGUCACUUUUGAUACCACGUAUAAGACAAACGCUUUUGGUGUAUGCCCUUUGCUCCCAUGCUUGGAGUGAAUCACCACCUUAGCACAACUUUUUUUGGGUUUGCCCUUGUAUUUGAUGAGAAUGUGGAAGCCUUUGUAAGGGUAUUUGAAAAAUAGCUUGAGGCAAUGGGUGGACGUCAACCGGGAGUCAUUAUCACCGAUCAGGAUCCUACAAUGACCGCUGUAGUGAGACAAGGUUUGAAUAAAAGCAGACAUCAUUAUUGUAAGUGGUACAUACUUUCAAAGAUCAAAGAAAAAAUGUGUCAUGUCUUGCAAAGGAGUGCAUCUUUUCCAGAUCACUUUAGGAACUGUAUAACUAGCGAAACUAAGGAAGAAUUUGAGUCAUAAUGAAAAUCUUUAACUGAGAAAUAUGAUAUUCAACAGAAUGAAUGGCUCAAUAAAUUGUACAAAUGUCGAGAGCAGUGGAUUGAUACAUAUGUUGCAGAUGCAUUCACAGUUGGUAUGUCAUCGACUCAAAGAAGUGAAUAAAUGAAUAAGCACUUCAAAAAUUAUGUGACUUCCAAUACAAGCUUAUGCACAUUGUUGGAAACUACUCUAAAAGUGCAUGAUAAAAAUGUUCUUAAGAUGAGAGAAAAUGACUUGAAGAACAUCAUAUAUAAGCCUUUUCUGAGGACCACUUGUGACAUCGAGGCUCACAGUUCGAAGAUAUAUACCCACAAAGUUAUGAAGUUGUUUGGGGAAGAAGUUGCAGAAGACGUCAAUUACAUGAGUGAAAUUAUUGAAGAGAAAGGCACAGUUACAACCUUCAAGGUAUCAAAACGUAGAUUUGAAAUAAGGUCUUGCACUGUUGUGUUUAAUAAUCACGACCAAACUUUUUCUUGUACUUGACUAGGCAUUAUUUGUAGGCAUGAGAUUAGGGUGUUCAUGGUGAAAAAUAUUUUUGAAAUCCCAUUGCAUUACAUAUUGAACAGGUGGACGAAAAAUGUGAUGCAAGGUGUUCUACUAGAUGCGAAUGGGAAACAAAUUCAAUAUACUUUUGAUCUACCCCGUUCCAUUCAUUUUAAUAAGGUUUGUCAAGCCACUAGAGUACUAGCAGAGCGUGCUUUAGAAAGUGCAGAGGUUCAUGCAUUUAUAAUGUUUGAGAGAGCAAGUACAGUUACAAAGGUUGAGGCCAAGUUUGGAGGUUUGACUAUAUCACCUGAGAUUAUGAAUGACAGCAGUAACAACCACGCUGAGGUUGAGGGACAUGCAGACCAUAUCGUCCUUGAGCCCCCUCGAGCACGAAUAAAGGGGAGACCUAUGAAUGUUAUAUAUGUACCUCUGGCUGAGAGAGAGGCAGAGAAAGCGAAAGCAAAAGCUAAAGAGAAGGAAGUUACCCGAAAGUACGCAGUUUGCAAAGGGAGUGGACAUGACAGAAGGAAUUAUCCAGCUGUAGCACAUUUAAAGUUAAAUAUCAAUAUAAGAUGCACGGAUGGGUCAAGUGAGAAUGUGGAACAUGAUGAGUAAUGCAUUGUAGAAUGGACGGCAUUGUGAUAAGCAUUGUAGAAUGGAUGGCGUUGUGCACUCAUGUGCAAGUAGAAGUGAAGAAUGAAAAGCCAUUUCAGAACUGAAGGGUACAUGGGCUAGUUCAAGGUCAAAGGAAAAAGAAUAAACAGUGAACAUAAUGUAAUUGUAGUUUUCAGAGUGCUGAAAAAUUGUACCCUUUAACUAGUAUUUGUUUGAUAAUUAUUGCUCAGUAGAUGAUAUGUAUCUUUAAAUAGGUCGGGACUUUAAGAUUUUUGGAUAUAACAAAGCUUAUUAAUGUUUAUCUUAA